ACAUGCGACCAUACCCACUGGAGAACUCGGGAUCCCGUCCGCUCUCCCAUCGAUAAACCAGUGAGGGCCGGAGUAGUAGUUGGGUCGGUGACGACCAGCGAAUGCCCGGUGUUGCAUGUC
rnacentral:rRNA from 1 species